ACGGCUCAGUAACACGUGGCAAACCUGCCCUUGGGACGGGAUCACCCCCGGGAAACUGGAGCUAAUCCCCGAUAGGUGAAGAACUCUGGAAUGAGUCUUUGCCCAAAAGGCGUCAGAUCAUGCUUCUGGCGUUGCCCAAGGAUGGGGCCGCGACCGAUCAGGUUGUUGGUGAGGUAUGCCCACCAAGCCUAUAACCGGUGCGGGCCGUGAGAGCGGGAGCCCGGAGAUGGGCACUGAGACAAGGGCCCAGGUCCUACGGGGCGCAGCAGUCGCGAAAACUUUGCAAUACACGAAAGUGUGACAGGGUCAUCCCGAGUGCCGACCGCUGAGGUUGGCUUUUACCCAGUCUAGAAAGCUGGGGGAAUAAGGAGAGGGCAAGUCUGGUGUCAGCCGCCGCGGUAAUACCAGCUCUCCGAGUGGUGUGGACGUUUAUUGGGCCUAAAGCAUCCGUAGCUGGCUGAACAAGUCCCCUGUUAAACCCACCGAUUUAAUCGUUGGUCUGCGGGGGAUACUGCUCGGCUAGGGGACGAGAGAGGCAGACGGUAUUCCCGGGGUAGGGGUGAAAUCCUAUAAUCCCGAGAAGACCACCAGUGGCGAAGGCUGUCUGCUAGAACGCGCCCGACGGUGAGGGAUGAAAGCUGGGGGAGCGAACCGGAUUAGAUACCCGGGUAGUCCCAGCUGUAAACGAUGCAGACUAGGUGUUUGGACGGCCACGUGCUGUUCUAGUGCCGCAGGGAAGCUGUUAAGUCUGCCGCCUGGGGAGUACGAUCGCAAGAUUGAAACUUAAAGGAAUUGGCGGGGGAGCAC
rnacentral:rRNA from 1 species